GACGAACGCUGGCGGCGUGCUUAACACAUGCAAGUCGAACGGAAAGGCCCUGCUUUUGUGGGGUGCUCGAGUGGCGAACGGGUGAGUAACACGUGAGUAACCUGCCCUUGACUUUGGGAUAACUUCAGGAAACUGGGGCUAAUACCGGAUAGGAGCUCCUGCUGCAUGGUGGGGGUUGGAAAGUCUCGGCGGUUGGGGAUGGACUCGCGGCUUAUCAGCUUGUUGGUGGGGUAGUGGCUGACCAAGGCUUUGACGGGUAGCCGGCCUGAGAGGGUGACCGGCCACAUUGGGACUGAGAUACGGCCCAGACUGCUACGGGAGGCAGCAGUGGGGAAUAUUGCACAAUGGGCGGAAGCCUGAUGCGGCAACGCCGCGUGCGGGAUGACGGCCUUCGGGUUGUAAACCGCUUUCGCCUGUGACGAAGCGUGAGUGACGGUAAUGGGUAAAGAAGCACCGGCUAACUACGUG
rnacentral:rRNA from 1 species